rnacentral:rRNA from 1 species
UACGUAGGGGGCGAGCGUUAUCCGGAAUUACUGGGCGUAAAGCGCACGCAGGCGGUUCGCCAAGUUUGGAGUGACAGUUAUCGGCUCAACCGACAAAGGACUUCAAAAACUGGUGAACUUGAGGACGAGAGAGGAACAUGGAACUCCAGGUGUAGUAGUGAAAUGCGUAGAUAUCUGGAAGAACACCAAUGGCGAAGGCAAUGUUCUGGCUCGUUUCUGACGCUCAGGUGCGAAAGCCAGGGGAGCGAACGGG